rnacentral:rRNA from 1 species
GACCCGGACCUGGGUGAUCUAUCCAUGAUCAGGAUGAAGCUUGGAUGAAACUAUGCAGAGGUUCGAAUCAACUGAUGUUAAAGAAUCAGCGGAUGAGUUGUGGUUAGAAAUGAAAUGUCACUCGAACCCAGAGCUAGCUGG